UAGGGGAUCUUCCGCAAUGGGCGAAAGCCUGACGGAGCAACGCCGCGUGAGUGAUGAAGGGCUUCGGAUCGUAAAACUCUGUUAUUAGGGAAGAACAAAUGUGUAAGUAACUAUGCACGUCUUGACGGUACCUAAUCAGAAAGCCACGGCUAACUACGUGCCAGCAGCCGCGGUAAUACGUAGGUGGCAAGCGUUAUCCGGAAUUAUUGGGCGUAAAGCGCGCGUAGGCGGUUUUUUAAGUCUGAUGUGAAAGCCCACGGCUCAACCGUGGAGGGUCAUUGGAAACUGGAAAACUUGAGUGCAGAAGAGGAAAGUGGAAUUCCAUGUGUAGCGGUGAAAUGCGCAGAGAUAUGGAGGAACACCAGUGGCGAAGGCGACUUUCUGGUCUGUAACUGACGCUGAUGUGCGAAAGCGUGGGGAUCAAACAGG
rnacentral:rRNA from 1 species